rnacentral:rRNA from 1 species
UGGGGAAUUUUGCACAAUGGGGGAAACCCUGAUGCAGCGACGCCGCGUGAUUUAGAAGGCCUUCGGGUUGUAAAAAUCUUUUCUAUGGGAAGAAAAUGACAGUACCAUAGGAAUAAGGACCGGCUAAUUACGUGCCAGCAGCCGCGGUAAUACGUAAGGUCCGAGCGUUGUCCGGAAUCAUUGGGCGUAAAGGGUACGUAGGCGGGUAAGCAAGUUAGAAGUGAAAUCCUAUAGCUCAACUAUAGUAAGCUUUUAAAACUGCUCAUCUUGAGGUAUGGAAGGGAAAGUGGACUUCCUAGUGUAGCGGUGAAAUGCGCAGAUAUUAGGAGGAAUACCGGUGGCGAAGGCGACUUUCUGGCCAUAACCUGACGCUGAGGUACGAAAGCGUGGGUAGCAAACAGG